AAUAGAUACCCCGGUAGUCCACCCGUAACGUUGGACUAGUUGUGGGUCCAUUCCACGGAUUCCGUGACGCAGCUAACGCAUUAAGUUCCCCGCCUGGGGGAGUACGGCCGCAAGGCUAAAACUCAAAGGAAUUGACGGGGACCCGCACAAGCGGCGGAGCAUGCGGAUUAAUUCGAUGCAACGCGAAGAACCUUACCAAGGCUUGACAUAUAGAGGAAACGGCUGGAAACAGUCGCCCCGCAAGGUCUCUAUACAGGUGGUGCAUGGUUGUCGUCAGCUCGUGUCGUGAGAUGUUGGGUUAAGUCCCGCAACGAGCGCAACCCUCGUUCUAUGUUGCCAGCACGUAAUGGUGGGAACUCAUGGGAUACUGCCGGGGUCAACUCGGAGGAAGGUGGGGAUGACGUCAAAUCAUCAUGCCCCUUAUGUCUUGGGCUUCACGCAUGCUACAAUGGCCGGUACAAAGGGCUGCAAUACCGUAAGGUGGAGCGAAUCCCAAAACGCCGGUCCCAGUUCGGAUUGAGGUCUGCAGCUCGACCUCA
rnacentral:rRNA from 1 species